AACCUUUAGACAAACAAAUAUUAAAGGCAACGCCUGCCCAGUGAAUAAUUAAACGGCCGCGGUACCCUAACCGUGCAAAGGUAGCGUAAUCAUUUGUCUACUAAUUAUAGACCAGUAUGAAAGGCAAAAUGAGGGUCUAACUGUCUCUUAUAAUAAAUCAAUGAAACUGAUCUCCUAGUAAAAAAGCUAGAAUUUUCCCAUAAGACCAGAAGACCCUGUGAAGCUUAAACUAAACUAUUAAAACACAUAAUAGCUACUUUCGGUUGGGGCGACCUUGGAAAAAAAAAGAACUUCCAAACACCACGAGCCAUACCUCGCACAACUCAGGCCAACAAGCCACAAAAGACCCAGCACAGCUGAAAAAUGAACCAAGUUACUCCAGGGAUAACAGCGCAAUCUUCUUCAAGAGCCCAUAUCAAAAAGAAGGUUUACGACCUCGAUGUUGGAUCAGGACAUCCUAAUGGUGCAGCCGCUAUUAAGGGUUCGUUUGUUCAACGAUUAAUAGUCCU
rnacentral:rRNA from 1 species